AAGAGUAUACUUUCAGGGAUCAUUUCUACAGUUCAUUACUAGACGAGUUUCUCUGAACGCGUAGAGCACUAGAAGCCACGAGGGAGAGAAGCAGUAUUCCCACCAGAGCAUGAAGCCACUCGGAAUUACUUCGGCAACUGCCGCUUGCCAUUGAUGGUUGUUUCUCUCUCUCUCUUUGGAGAGAAGAGGGAGAGGAUGCAUUCUGAGU